rnacentral:rRNA from 1 species
GAUGAACGCUGGCGGCGUGCUUAACACGUGCAAGUCGAACGAAGCAUACGAAUUGGAUUUCUUCGGAAAAAGGAAUCGUAUGACUGAGUGGCGGACGGGUGAGUAACGCGUGGGUAACCUACCUCAUACAGGGGGAUAACAGUUAGAAAUGACUGCUAAUACCGCAUAAGCGCACAGAACCACAUGGUUCAGUGGGAAAAACUCCGGUGGUAUGAGAUGGACCCGCGUCUGAUUAGCUAGUUGGUAAGGUAAUGGAUUACCAAGGCGACGAUCAGUAGCCGACCUGAGAGGGUGAUCGGCCACAUUGGGACUGAGACACGGCCCAAACUCCUACGGGAGGCAGCAGUGGGGAAUAUUGCACAAUGGGGGAAACCCUGAUGCAGCGACGCCGCGUGAAGGAAGACGUGUUUCGGCAUGUAAACUUCUAUCAGCAGGGAAGAAAAUGACGGUACCUGACUAAGAAGCCCCGGCUAACUACGUGCCAGCCGCCGCAGUAACAC